rnacentral:lncRNA from 1 species
UAGAGAAGGGCAUGCAAAAUGGGCAGAGGAUAACAUUCCCUGGUGAAGCUGAUGAAGCGGUAGGUGUACUUUCAUUUUGAACUUUGGAUGUUCGGUUGUUCAGUACGUCUGUAUGUCAGUUAUCUUUGGUAUAUCUAUUGAUCCAUGCUAUUUUCUCUUUGUUUUAUUUCAUUCUACAGCCGGACACCGUUACAGGUGAUAUUGUUUUUGUCCUACAACAAAAAGAGCACCCUAAGUUUAAGAGAAAGGGUGAUGACCUUUUCUUUGAACAUACAUUGUCACUUAUGGAAUCACUCUGUGGCUUUCAAUUCAUAUUAACGCAUUUGGAUGGAAGACAACUCCUCAUUAAAUCUCAUCCUGGAGAAGUUGUAAAGCCUGGUAAGUUUCUUCAUUACUGUAUUCAUUCUGAAUAGUUGCCCUGUACUUGUGAUUUGGUUAAUUCUUGAUGUUAUGAGUCACUGUCUUAUUGGCUCUUGGUUUUUUUUCCUAUACUACCUUUAUUAGGGUUGGUCAAAUAAAUGUGUAGUCGGUAUUCACUUGAACCUGUGAUGAUUAUUUUGAUUGGUGUUUUAUACAUGUAUCAGCGUAAGUGUUUGGGUAUGUCACAAAGAGAGAACAAACAACCAAAAAUACAUGAACAGAAAACAAACAUCACAACUGAUGAAUAUGUGAUGACAAUAUGUGCACAGCCAUUCAAAGAUGACCAAUUUUUCUGGAAAAGAGAAAAAUAACAAGGAUUAAGGUUAUUAUAGGAAUAAUGGGAGUGAGAAGGUAAUAUGUUUUAAAUCUAAUCGAGAAUAAGAAAACGGAGUGGGUGGGAAUAACAUAUUUGCCUUUCAAAUUUAAAUCAUAUUACCCGAUCUCCCUUUAUUCCUAUAAUAGCACCUCUCUCUCUCUCUCUCUCUCUCUCUCUCUCUCUCUCUCUCUCUCUCUCUCUCUCUCUCUCUCUCUCUCUCUAGCUAGUGACUCAUGUGUUCUACUUACUGCUGUGCAAUUAUUGUGGACCAAAUGAUAUUUGCAACUUGUCCCCAAAGUCGUAAUUUAACUCCUUCAUACUCGUGGACAAGAUUGGACAUUAGAACAACAAACAUGCUUGUGUAGUCAAGUUCUCAUUCUCCAUUUUGAGUUGGAAAUUUUUCUUUUAGUUCUCACUUGUUUACUUAAUAAUUUGAUAAGGUGUUGGUAAUUUGACAAGGUGGUGUUAAUUUCUAUAAGGUUAUUCAGUACACAAUUACGAAAUGUAUCAGGAGUGAAAACUAGACUAUUAGUUUUUUUUUUAGCUUGUAGUGUGAAAUUUUUUGUUCAUGGUAAUAGUUGGAUGUUGCAUCAGAUUUUUUUGUAGUUCCCCUGAUUUUGUUUCUAUCUUCACCGGUGUCUCUCAGAUCAAUUCAAGGCUAUAAACGAUGAGGGCAUGCCAAUGUACCAGAGGCCAUUCAUGAAGGGUAAGUUAUAUAUUCAUUUCACAGUGGAGUUCCCCGACUCACUGAACCCAGAACAGUGCAAGGCCCUGGAGGCUGUCCUUCCCCCCAGGACUUCGGCACAACUUACCGACAUGGAGUUGGAUGAAUGUGAGGAGACCACGCUGCAUGAUGUAAACAUAGAGGAGGAAAUGCGUCGAAAGCAAGCACAUGCGCAAGAGGCAUAUGACGAGGAUGAGGACAUGCAUGGUGGUGCCCAAAGGGUCCAAUGUGCUCAGCAAUGAUUAGAUUAAGCAAGCUUUAUGAAGUUAUUUGAGAAAAAUAAAAGUUAUCGGCACCGUGGUCUGUUGGUCUAGCUUCCCAGUGUUUAUUUCUGGUUUGGUGUGUGAAUCCGAAACUUCUUCGGAACAAUAGCUGUUAAGGAGAUGCUUAUUCUACUUAAACGUGGUUUGGUCUGUUGGUCUGUUGUUGAAUGCUAAGAAUUUGUUCUGCUGCUUUUGUUCUGCUGUUAAAAUGGCGAAUUUGCACACCGUAACAUAGCAUCAAUUUGAAAGAGGUUAUGUGUAGCAAGGUCCCUCAGCUGACUGGUAUAUCUUUGGUCCGUGCGGCUUGAGCUUAUAACCUAUAACCUUAAAUAACCGAUUACGUAAUGCUCUGUUUAGUUACAAGCUCAUGUCACUAGGAUCGACAAUAUCAAAGUAUGAAGUUAAAAUCCUUUUAUUUACGAACCCCAUAUGCAUCUAGUGCUGGUAGGAUGGUUCAAUACAAUUUUGGAACUAUAGACACGAUUUUUAUUGGUGCAUAUCUUUUUGUCCAUAUAGCUCGAUAAAGUUCUUGUUCCACUAUAAAACAAAUUACUAAUACGAGGAAUAACUCAACUUUUAAUAAAUACCUAUUGAGAUUUUUGAUUAUCCGAUAUGAAAUUCGUACUUUUAAUAGUUUGGUCCAUUGCUUAUUUUAGGUUUCUACAGUUUGACUCCACUUUAAUUUUUGUUGAGUGGUUGUGCUUGUUAUUUUUGUGUUGUACUAAUAAAAUAGAGUAAAUUGUAGUAAUGGUCCUUUAACUUUAAUCAAAUUGGUGCAAUGAUCUCUCAACUAAAAAUUUAUUACCAUUGAUCCCUCAACUCAUCAGAACGUGUAGCUAUGGUCAUUUUCAUCAACUUCGUUAUAAUUUUGUCAAAAUGAGUUAUGUUGGAAGGACUAUUGUUACAAUUUACUCAAUAAAAUAAAUUGUAGCUCUAAUUAAUUUUUCUUGUAAAGUAUUGAGGUCGAAGUGUUUUUUUUCUUUCAGUUAAAGACAUUUUUGUCUUUAAAGUGAAUGUUAUCAAGAGUUUAUGGUACGUGAGAGAGGUCCAUUUUUUAUGUUAAAAAAAAAGGACUAUAACAAAGAAAGUUAGAACUUUCAAAAGUUGAUGACCUCAACUAGGAUUGUAGUCAAAAUCAAGAAACGUUUUAGUAUACACCGAGGUAUUUUAUACUUUGUAGAUUUAAACUUUAAACCGAUAUAUCUUUGGACAAAGGUACAAUGAUCAAGAUUUAACGAUUAAAAUUCUCAAAGUGUAGAUACUCCAAAACAUCAUAGAUCUUUCGUAGAAUCGAUUGGAUCUCCCAAAUAGUACAAACAGUUCCACCAAUAAAAAGCAAUGCUAUAUGUUAUUGAAAGGAUUGAGUGAGUAAAAGACCCAUGUAUGUCAUAACCAAAUUCUUGUCUGCCCAUGUUUGGAUCCAAGUACUCCAAACAGGAUCUUCAAUCCUCUAAUCUAAUAUCAAUAAAGCAGUCAAAUUAUUCUGGUUAAGGUUUAGAAAGAAAUUAAAUACAUAAACUCUGCUAUCCUAAGAAAACAACUUAAAUCUAGUUAAAUUAUUUUCCUAGAUCACCCAAAAACGAGGAGUAGCACCCCAAAACCAACACCAAACAACCCCUUAUGCAUCAAUGCAGCAGAGUUUGAAGGACCCUCAGGAGAACCAUUAUCAACUGGCGACGGAGCUGGACUUGUAACCUGCACAUAAGGAGGCUGGGACCCGUUAGGGCUGCUUGGAGAUGGCGGAGGAGUUGAUAUGAGUGGUGGUGAAGACGGAGGAACAGGAGUUGGAGAAGCAGGAGGCGGGGAAGACGGAGGUGGACUUGGUAGUGGGCAAGGGCAUUCGUUAACUUUAAUAGAAAUCUUCUGGCCAAGACUACAGUACGUAGAGAUGUUGCAGAUGUAGUAAAACACACCCUUUUCUUCCAAUGGAAUAGUCACGGGACCAGUGUUGAACACUUUCAGUGGCUUGUAACCUGUGCACUUCUCAUACUCUUGCUUUGUUACUUGCAGGACGUUGUAACGCCCCGUUUCGAAUGCAAAAACUUCAAGGAAAUACAAAAAUAAAGCAAUAUAAUUUAGUCAAUCUGAUAUAGGACAUGUAAAUUCUUUAUAUCUCAUGUUAUGUAUAUAGUCAAACUGUGAAUUAGAUUUAUUUGGAGUUGAUGAUGAUAAGUUUUUGUGUGCCAAUUUACCACAAUAUAACCGCGCAGCGGAUGAAGAACUUGGUAUUUUAGAGUAAGGAAUUGUGAUUAAAACUCCAAAAAAGUCAACAUGCACUCGUGCCUUAACAAAUAUACGAGAAAAUUACUGUCACAUUUGGAAAAAGAAAUUUAGCAGUGUGUAUGUGCACAGAUAUAUAUAUAUAUAUAGUAAUGCAUAUGAGGAGGGCAAGUCUUGACACAACUGAAAGGUUGCUCAUUUGUGACCAAAAGGUUAGGGGUUUGAGUUGUAGAAAUAGCCUCUUUGUAAAAUAAGGGUAAAGUUGUGUACGAUAAACUUUUCUUCGAUCCUCACAAAGAGAGGAGCAUCGUUGGCUUGUGUUCGCCCCUUUUUAGUAAUGCAUAUGAGGCAGAGUAUUAUAUAUGUAUACACGGGGAAUAGGAUUACCGAGGGAGUCACCGAUCUUGAAGAAAUGGUUAGAGGACCAGUUUGUGUAGUAAUCAGGGUUUGGAUGAAUGGCCCAAAAGUCGUCUCCGACUGGGUAUUUCACACCACCACUCGGAGUCGGUAUGCAACCAAGUGACUCAGGAACAACCAAACCCACCGCAGCCGCCGCCAUCAUCACAACUAAUGCCAUGGAAAGCUCACUCUUCACAGCCAUUGAAGAAAACAGAGAGAGAGAGAGAGAGAGAGAGAGAGAGAGAUUUCUGCGGUUAUAACUUAUAGCUAGGUAGAGGGGUAGCAAGCAAUUAGCAAGGGCAAUGGAGAGACUGGAAUAUUAACAUAUAUAACGGUUUUAUACAUAAAGAUGGUAAAGUCGUCGGUAUUUAUAACUCGCAGACGACCAGUCAAGGCCUGAUUAGGUUUUCCGUUCAUAUUUCCAUUUCAGUAGUAAAUAAUGUUUGGAAAUUUAACAGUUUCAUUGCAUUCAUUCAUCACAUAGAUAUACAAGGUUUAAUUUCCUGCUAGUGUUAUUCAGAAAUAAAGUAUUUGCUAUAAAUUAAAAUGAAUUAAUGUUAAUUUAUGGAGUCAUAGGAAAUCCAUAAAUGUACGUUCAUGGAAAAGCAACGGUAAUAGUUACAGAUGCAUGUCCAUGAUCUUGUUAUGUUCAUGGAAACGAUAAGGAUGACUCUAGACUUAUCCCAACCUGGAAAUAAAACUCAAAUUUUAAGUUCUAAACUUAUCCACUCCAAGGAACAAAUAUAAGCUUUAAUCCUAAACUCAUUUAUGGGGCAAAUUUAGUCAGGAUUCCUCUUGGGUUAGUGGGGCUGAUUCAGCAUAUAUGUCUAUUUUUUUUUUUGUUUUAUAUUUAUAAAUUCAUUAAAUUCAACAGCUAAGAUAUAAUAUGAUCAAAUCUAACAGUAAAAAAAAUAAAAAUAUAUAACGGUCCAAAUUUAAAUCUAAUGGCUAAAGUAAUAAAAAAAAUUAUUUUAUGUGUUUCAAUUUUUUUUUUAUAGUUCAUAUUUUUUUUGUAGUGUUACACGAGUUUCGUAAUGUUGGUUUAGUGAUUUUUCAAUAUUUAUAUCGAAUUCUAAAUAUUUUUAGUUUAAAAUGGAGUUAAUUACCUUAAUAGCCCCUGAGGUUUAUCGAGUUUUCACAAAAUUUCAUUACAUUUGAGACAUUACACUAACACCCCUCAAGUUCUAAUUCACUUUCAUAUAACCCCUUCAGUCAAAAUUCUGCUAAUAAAUCGACAACUAUACCCUUAUAACUAAUUGAUUAAAUAAUAUUAAAAAAAAAUAUUGGAAGAUGGAAAUAUUAAAAAUAAACAAAUUAAACAUUUAAAAAGUAAAUUGAAAACUUCUCCCUCUCUUUCUUUCUAUGACUAAUUUGGACCACCAUCAUUCCCAUGCCUGCUCGCUGCUCAGAUCCUUGAACUCCUCCAUCAAGCAUAAGCCAUAUAUUUAUCAAGAAAGAAAUAGCCUUUCAUUGAUCAUUCCACUACUAUAAUUAAGAAGAAUUAUUAUCAGUCACUACGGAAAACUCUGCACUGCUGUGGCAUCCGUGAGAGAUAGGGUUCAGAUGAUAAAAUUCACAAAUUAUAUUUUAUCCAACAUUCUGGAUUUUGGAUUCUUCUCUGUUUCUGACAAUUUGAUAAAAAAAAACCCAGCUUCGGUGAAAAUUUUGGUGUUUGAAUUUCAAGGUUUCUCUCAAAAAUGGUGAUGGUGAAUCUGGUAAUGCUCCAUUAUGUUCUGGACCUUGUGUACGGUGCAUUCAUACACAAAACAAAGGUUAGCUCUCAAUUUUUUCCGAGAGGGUGGGGCAGAGAGGAAAGGGAUGAAGGUGGCAAUGGUGGGUCGUUGAAUUGUGUAGGGUUUAGAUUUCCUCUUUUUCCUUUUCGAUAUUUUAAGUUAUUUAUUUAUUUUUUAAUGUUUAAUUUAUUUAUUUUUAAUAUUUUAUUUUUUAAAUAUAUUUCUUUAUUAUUUAAUUAAUUAGUUAUAAAUGUAAAGUUGUCAAUUUAUUAGCAAAAUUUCGACUGAAGGGGUUUCAUGAAGGAGAAUUAAAACUUGGAGAGGUGUUAGUGUAAUGAUUCAAACGUGAGGGUGCUUUGUGAAAACUCGAUAAACCUCAUGGAGUGUUAGUGUAAUUAAUUAAAAUGUUCAUUAAAAUUAAAUUAGUAUAGCCCACAUAAUUUUUUUUUUAAAUUUACUUUAACGAAAAAAUUAUCCUAAAUUUAUUUUUUAGUAAUCUCGGGCUAAAAAUUUAACUCAAAUGGAUUGGAGGAGAAAAACUGUUUAUGGGUUAAAACUUAAAUAUUUUGGAUGAAAAACUUUAGGUUUUGACACAAGGGUUAAAUAUGGUCUAACAGAGAAGGAGGAUGUGGUAUUUUAUUUUAUUUUUUGGAAUAAAAAAAAACUGGGAGAUUUGGCAUAUUAAUAAGUAAUGACCAUAAUUAUUAAUAGAAACAUGUACAUGCAUGUGUGAGAAGUUAAACUAUUUUAUAAAAAAAGUCUUGUAAAUUGAUUUACCCAUUAAAAUUAUCAUUUAGUCUUACUUUACCUCUUAACAUUAGUUUUGUCUCACCUUCCUCCAUUAAACUACCAUUUUUGUCUCAGUUAUUCUCAAUUCACCUCAUUUUUGUCUAUUCUACCAAAUAAAUGUUAAAUUAAAGGUAGCAUCACAUUUUAUUUUUGACACAACUCUAGUUCAAAUCCCCAACUGCACAUGCAGUCCUACCAAAUAAUCUAUAAUUACAAUCAGUGUCUUAUUGGCCCCGAUCAAAGAUCAUCAAGAUAGAUUCAAUUAAACUGGUGAUUCAGAAUUAUUAAUACAAUGAUAUACUUAUGUUAUUUUUUUUAAAUUUUUUUUUUUGCUUUGGGGUGGGGGUGAGUCACUCAUAAUCAUUUGGUAUCAAAUUUAAAAUCUUGAACUUACCUAAAGAAUAUAGUAUUUAACUGUAAUUUUGGGUUAGAAAAUUAUAUUAGAAAAAGGUUUCAACUUAUGCUAGAAACUUACACACAGAGCAUGAAGGAUUUCAUUCAUAGCGAACCAAAGAAACUAACACACACAGCAUGGAAAAGAACAUGACCCUGAGAAAACCUCGUCCCGGGUAAACAACGUGACAAAAAUCCCAUGGGAGCCACUUAUGCUAGAAACAAAACAGAUUACGUUCUAGUAUAAUCAUUAGAUAAACAACUUAUUAAUUAUGAAGGACCGACAUUGUCCCAAAAAGAUACACCUCGAUGAUUAAUACGAUAGCGACACCUUGAUGAUUAAUACUAUAGCUAGCUUCUCAAUCAACCAUCCAUCAAUGUCCUUUAGAGAAAAAGGAAGACAAAAAAAAAAGUGAAAAAAAGCUAAAGAGAUGUAGAAAGAAACCACUAGCCAAUUAUGACCGUUAGCCACACACUUAUCUUGUUCCGCAUCUCCCAGCAUUCCCCACAUUUUUGAAUUUUAAAAUUCCAAAAACAACUUUGUAGCCGUUGAAGUUGGAAAGCUCUGGCCGCAGCAGCACCACCAAGGUCAAGGCGGUGAAAGAAGCAGCAGCUUCGUUUACUAUUAGCUCUCCCCCUUUCUAUCUAAUCUUUACGAUCCCCCCCCUUUUUUUUUAUUUCCGUGUUCAAAUUCUGUUGCCCGGUUCAGAUUUUCGGAGCUCAAUUUUGGAAUCAAUGAAAGGGGUGAAAGGGAAGUUGAUGAAGAAGUUGAAGUCAAUCGGACCGAUUGGAAUUGGGUACCUGAAACCGCAAGAUCGAGUUCUUCAGGUAAAUGCAUCGGAUGGAUAUGCGGAUUCAAAUCUCAACAUUCAGACCCAUAAUUUCAUUUCAAAAGAAACGGAGCAGCAGGAGAAGAUCAAACAGUUAGAGAAGAAUGUGACGGAGCUAGAGCCUGACAUUAUCGAUGUCACCGAGCUUAUGAGAGACCUGGAUGAUGAAGAAGAGUCGGAGCCCGAUGGCGAUUAUAUCGACAUCAACGACAAGGAAAACGUUAGGCCUAAAACGAAGGAGAAACACCGAGUAGAGGGCAACAACAAUUGGGUUAAAACAGAGUCAAAUUUGGAGGAAAACAGAGCUUCUAAAGCUUCAGAAAAUCGAAGAGAGACCCCUUUGUCGCAGAUUGACAUCUCGUCUUUCCGGAGACCGGACUUAAACUCCGGUAGCCUCUUCGACCCGAACCUACUGUUAGCCUUUCAGCAAGCGGUGAUGGAAUAUAUGAGGUUUACUUCAAAUGAAGACAUAGAAUCCAAUUUUGUAGAAGCGCCAGAUCCCGAGCCAGAGCAAGAGCCGCCCUCAAAUAAAGACCCUCUAUUAGGCUUCGAAGAAAAGUGUCCGCCUGGUAGUUUGGAAUCAUCGGUAGUUCUCUACACUACAACCCUUCGGGGGAUUCGAAAGACUUUUGACGAUUGCAACAGCGUUCGAUUUCUUUUAGAGAGUUUUUGGGUUGUGUUCUACGAGCGAGAUGUGUCAAUGCACAUGGAAUUCCGACAAGAGCUUUGGAAGAUUUUGGAUUGCAAAGCAGUGCCUCCAAAUCUUUUCAUAAAGGGGAGAUAUAUCGGGGGAGCAGAGGAGGUCUUGACACUUCACGAGCAAGGAAAGCUCAAGCCGCUCUUUGAAGGAGUGCCGAUGGAUCGGUCCAUUGGCCCCUGUGAAGCUUGUGAUAGAGUUCGGUUUGUGAUUUGCUUCCGAUGCAGUGGGAGCUGCAAGCUCGUUGCCGAUGAGGGGCAGCCGGAUAAGUGCCCCGAGUGUAACGAAAAUGGGUUGAUUAUUUGCCCCUUGUGUUGCUGAACAAACUUGAAAUCUUGAUUCUUGUUGUAAUGUAUGUAACUUGAAAUUUUUUAUUCUUUGAAUUCAUCAUAUGUUUUCAUAUUUGUUUUGGCAAAAAUUCAUGGAUAAUAAAUUGAGAGCAGAUGUGCUUUGGAGAGGGAGUUUUCUGACUGUUUAACAAAUUCAUUUAGUGAUGAAACACAACAACAACAAAGCCUUAUCCCACUAAGUGGAAUUGGCUAUUUGAAUUCUAGAACGUCGCUGCGCUUGGGUUAAGGAUUAGAAAUAAGAAAGUACCAAAGAGUGAAUGCUUUCAUUAUCUUGGAUCUAUCUUGCAAAAUAACAGAGAAUUUGAUGGAGACAUCAACUAUACAAUACAAGCUGAUGAAGUGGAAGAAUGCAUUAGAUGUGUUAAGUGACCAUUGUAUGCCAUUAAACCUGAAAGGAAAAUUUUAUAGGAUGACAAUAAGGCCAACAAUGCUUUAUGACACAGAAUGUUGAGCGGUCAAGCAUCAACACAUAUACAAAAUUAGUGUAGCAGAGAUAAAAAUGUUUUGUUGGAUGUAAGGGCACAUGAGAAAGGAUAGGAUUAGGAACGAGGAUAUCUGAGGUAAAGUAGGAGUAGCUGCAAUUGAAGAUAAGAUGAGAGAAAAUCGGUUAAGGUUGUUUAGACAUGUGAAAUGAAAACCUAAAAAUGCUCAAGUUAGAAGAUGCGAUUACGAGACAGAGGCUCAAGGCAAAGAGGUAGAGGAAGACCUAGGAAGACUUGGAAAGAGACUCUAACAAAAGACUUAGAGUACUUGGAUCUAACGGAAGACUUGGCACAAAACCGAGCACAAUGACGUUCUAUGAUUUAUAUAGUCGACCCACUUAGUGGGAUAAGGCUUUGUGUCCUAGGAUUCAUACACUCGGCCCCUUAGUGGGAUAAGGCUUUGUGUUCUAGGAUUCAUACAGUCGAAUUUACUUAGUGGGAUAAGGCUUUGUUGUUGUAGUGGUGCAGGUGAUGUUCAUCUACCAUAAUCUGGAUACGAGAGCUGAAUGAGCCAAUCAAGCACAUCAUCAAAUGCAUGAAGGAUAUUAUCAAAUUCGAUCUUUAGUAAUAAGAAUUUUCAACUUUUUGAUAGCAUACAUGAUCAUAUAGCACUAUAUUCGGAAAGAAUAGGGCAAAUGAGAGCCUUGAUCGGUGCUAAAGUCAUCUCCAACUGACUCUACUAAAGGGUUGUAGGCCAAAAUAUAGCCUUAUGACACGAAAACCGUCUUCAACUGAUGAUCAGCCAAAAGGCUUAUGGGCCCCCUACCAGGCCAUAAACCAGCCACAAGGUCAGCGGACUGGCCUAAGGAAGCCAGCCAGCCAACCCGAUUUGGGUAGCCCAGUUCACUUGGGUUGCAUUUAGUACCUGGGACGGGACGAGACAGAAAUUGGGUGUUUUUGCGUCCCGCCUCCCCCCUCCGAGAACGGGUUAUUCCACGUAUGUGGAACACAAAAAUUCCACUGUCUACCCUCCCUAUCUCUCCCGCAGCCUCCCUCUCUCGUAGCUUCGUUACCCUCCCUUUCUCCUGUAGCCUCCUCCUCCACCACAAACCUAGCAACCCAAAUGCUUCGUUACCCAGCAACCCAGAUGAAUUCGAGCUCGAUUUCAGGCUUUCCGGGCUGAGUCGGAGAUGAAUCCGUCGAAAUAUACCGGCGAAACAGACCGAAACGCACUUCCUUCUAGGAAAAAACUCGGCGUUUGCGCUGGCCGGAACGACGCGGCUUUUGCGAAGUGCAAGGAAAUCAUAGUUUGAUGUAGCUCGGUCCACACUCAUCUCCCUUAGCCUUUUCAUAUCGUUGGUUUUAAAUUGGGGAAAAAUAAUUUGAUUUACUGGAAUUGAAGAGAAAGAUAAUGAAAUGAAGAGAAAGUAUGGGUUUGAUUUACUGGGUUUGAUUUUUACUGGGAGAUCUGAGCAUGCGCGAGAGAGAGAGUCAAAUGGAAGAAGAGAAAGCAGAGAAACGGGAGAGAGAUAGUCAAAUAAAAACGGUAAGUUAGUCAUUUAAUCCAGUUUCGUUCUGUUCUAUCUUGUCAGUACCAAACAUGACAUGAAUCUUUGUUCCGUUCCGUCCUGUCCCGUCCCAUCCCGUCACAUACCGUUUCGUCCCGUCUACGUACCAAACGCUACCUUGGCGUUGUUGGUACUGUGGGUCCCGCUUUGGUUUAGGUUGCGUCAGCAUGCCGAAAUUGCAGUACGCUGACUUGCUUACCUCCACGAAAUCUAGUACAACUUUUAUGAGGUACUACUAUUUUAUUUGUUUUUAAUUCUAGGAAAUUUUAUUUGUAAUCCGCAUUUGGAGGAGGUCCAUCCUUCUCUUUUCUUUCAAUAUUUUUUUUCGAUUAAUUUAUUUAAUUUCUUCUUAUUUCUAUUAAUUAAUGAAAUCUUCUUUGUCAAUUAAAAAAGAGUGAAAAGACAACUUAAUCUUUUAUCACACAAAAAAAAUGAUAGGCAAUAAUAUUAUUUCAUAGGUCCAAAUUUUACUGUUUUUUAUUGAAGAUUCCCCUACAGGUGAUGUUAAAUAUCUCUAAUAUUUAAAAUUUAAGGAAAAACAAAAAAAAAACCUCUCACUUCCUCCACGUUUUCUCUCUCUCUCUCUCUCUCUAUCUCUCUCUCUCUUAUUCUCAUUUCCUAAAAAAAUAUGUUCAUACACACAAAAUGUAUAGGCAAAUGUUAGUCUUUUAAUAUAAAACGUAUUUACCCAUUCUACAUUCUUAUCUUUUAGUAUAAUAUAUAUUUUUUGAUUUAAUAUGGUAGUUUAAUUCAGUUAAAAUAAUAAAUUAUUUAGGGGCUAAAAAAUAGCCCCUUUCGGUUGGAGAUGAGUUUUUUGUCAAACUGAUUAUGUUUUUGCCUAUGACCAUUUGGCUCUCUCGGUUGGAGAUGAUAUAUAAUUAUGGUUUGACAUUGUUCAUUAAAAAAUAAUUUCUUACAGGGUUAUAAUCUGGACGGAAGCUCAACAUGGCUCUUUUCGGUUGGAGAUGGCCUAAUAAACAUAACAAGUGAAUGCAGUUGGGGAGUUUAUGAUUCAGAAGCAAAAUCUUGUACAUAUGUGCGUACUAAGUACUAGUGCAUACAGUACAAUAUAGUAUAGUAUAGUAUAGCAUAGUGUUGUUUGGUACAAUAUAUUACGGUACAAUAUAUUACGGUAUAUAGAGUAGAGUAUAGUAUAGUACAAUAUAAGGUUUGUUUGAAAGUGCUUUUAAAAUAACUGAAAAUAUUUUUAAAGAAGGGAAAUGUUAUUAACACUCUAAAAAUCUCAUUCUACACUUCUCAUAAGUGUAUUUUUCUUUCUAAUUAUAGAAAGUUUGGAGUGCACAAUAAAUUUUUUGAAGUGCUAAUUAGUGAUACUGACAACACAUAACUAUCUCCUAGAGUAGAGAUUUGAUUAUUUAUUUCAUUCACAAGUGUAAUCAUCUUUUGUUCGAAGCUCAAGCGCAAUCCUCUAAUGGAAUCAUAUCCGUACUAAACGUAAAUCUUCUCUUGUAGGCGAUUUUUUUCUUAGUGGGAAACCCACUUAUACUUGUCCAGUAAUAAAUGUGAUAUUUCUGUUUACUUGUAGAUGAAAAGUUUUAAGUUUAAUUUUCAUAAUGAUGAGUUUGUGUUUUUAUAUUUUUUAUACCAAAUUAUUAUAAAUGACCUAUCAUGUGACUUAGCUCAAGUAACCAAUAUUAUUUCAAUACAUGGCCUAGGCAGUAAACCGUACAUACAUCUGUGUUUUGGUUUUUGGGUAAAAAAAUUCCAGCCCUAAAAAGGAUAUGACUAGAAUUUCACUCAUGUUUGUCAAGGGUGGGCAUUGGGUGGGUUGGUCAGGCUAUAAAUCACCCUUAGCCAACCCAAUAAGGUCAAGUUGAACCUAUUUUCACCCAAGAAAAUUGGCAAACCAACCCACCCAAACUAUUCUUAGGCAAGUUAGGUUGGGAUUAAUUACUUUCUUAUUAUUAAUGUGAGUAUAAUUAACAUAAUCCAAAAUGAAUGUCAUAUUAGGCUUAAAUCAUAUAAAUUUGGUGUUGUAAAAUCACCGCUGUUACUUAAUAUUUAAAGCGUGUUUAAAAAAUUAUUAUAUUUUCUUUAUGUAUAUGUAGACAUCAAAAAUUCGGUAAAUAAAUGUUGACCGAUAAAUCAAAGUGUCAACGCUCAUGUAUUACAUAAAAUUUUACACGUAGCGUGUGUCUAAACAAAAAAUCGAAAUAAGUUGGAAAAGUCAUCAAACAGGACACGUGUCAACACCUGGUAGAAAAACGACUUAUUUCAUCUGGAAUAUUAUAUUCAAAAUUAGGCCUUGGAAAUUUCUAUAAAUAGAAGGCUAAUUCAUUCAUUUGGGGAAACCAAAAUCAUUAGGCAAAAUUCUUGAAGCUCUGAAGCUCUGAAACUCCGAAGCUUUCAAGCAUCCAGGUUCUCGAAGAAUCAAGAAAACGUUCUUCGUUCUUUGUUCAUCGUUCUUCCAAGAUCAAGCCCCGACGGCCCUUGGAUUAACAACCACCAAUUCAAGAUCCAGCCCCGACGGCCCUUGAAGAAAGCGUUCUUCGUUCUUCGUUCAUCAUUCUUCCAAGAUCAAGCCCCGACGGCCCUUGGAUCAACAAUCCACCAAUUCAAGAUCAAGCCCCAAAGGCCCUUGAAGAACAUCCACCAAUUCAAGAUCAAGCUCCGACGGCCCUUGAAGAAAGUGUUCUUCGUUCAUCGUUCUUCCAAGAUCAAGCCCCAACGGCCCUUUGGAUCAACAACGUCGACAAAUCCACACAUCCAACCGUUCUUCAAGAUCAAGCCCAAAAGCCCUUGAAGAUCCGUUCAUCACUGUUCUUCAAGAUCAAGCCCAAAAGCCCUUGGAGAUCCGUUCGUCACUGUUCUUCAAAGAUCAAGCCCAAAAGCCCCUUUGAAGAUCCGCUCAAAUCCACCUUCAAGAUCAAGUCCACGACCCUUGAAGAACGUUCAUCCUUAGAUCAAGCCCAACGGCCUUUUGGAUCAAUCACACAUCCACAAAUACACACCUUACAGAGAUCGAAUCAGAGGAUCAAAAUAGAGAGAGAUUGUAACCCAAAAUCAUCAAAUACAAAUAUUUGUUUGUGCACGUUGUUCUUGUCUCUUUCGUUUUAGGAAAUUUUCCGUGUUCACAAAUUGGCACGCCCAGUGGGACAAUCUCUACCUCUCAUCUCUUUCUCCGUUCAAGAAAUUCAAGCACACUUUCAAAAUUAAUGGCUUCAAGGAAGGCUCAAACUGUUCCCGCAAUUGGCGCAAAGAACAAGAGCGUCAUAGUCGCAAGAGGUGUCACUUUAGGCAUCACGACUCGAAGUAAAGCAAAAGCUACUUCUGCCACCUCUUUCACCUCUGCAUCAACUCUGCCAAAGGAAUGAGAGUACCCAAGGCACGAGCCUGUGAUUGCCUUAGCCUCACUAAGGGCACCAAGGGGGGAAAAAGACCAAGGGAAUACCCCGAAUCCAUGCUCUCCAAUGACGAUUCAAGCGGCAGUUCAGCCAUGCAAGUCAUGACCACUGGAGCAACUUCAAUCGAUGAACAGCUUGCUCAAAUGAAUGAAGCAAUCGCAAGACUAACUCGAACUGUGGAAGAAAAAGACUUGCAGAUCGCGGCGUUAGUCAACCGACUGGAGGUGCAGGACAGCGAGAAACCCGACCCAGAGGAUGAUCCACUAAAGGGAGGAGCUGGCGGAGACGAAGAACCCCCGGUGAAGAAAAUCGAUGGGAAGCCGAAACCAGACCAAGCAGCGGCGCUCAUGGGGAUCUCUCUCUAUCUAGCAGCUGCAGGAGAUGAUCACCAACACCAUCAAGGCACAGUACGAAGGGAGCUCAACCACCAAAGUUCAUGCAGUUUGAUGGAAAAGGAAACCCAAAGCAGCAUGUUGCACAUUUUGUCGAAACUUGCAACAAUGCGGGGACGGAUGGAGACUACCUCGCCAAGCAGUUUAUGCGCUCGCUGAAAGGAAACGCUUUUUAGUGGUACAUGGACCUAGAGCCUGAGUCCAUCAACAGCUGGGAGCAAUUAGAGCGGGAAUUCCUCAACCGCUUCUAUAGCACCAGUCGCAUUGUGAGCAUGCUAGAGCUAACGAGCACAAAGCAGUGGAAGGACGAGCUAGUCAUUGACUACAUCAACAGAUGGCGCACUCUAAGCCUCGACUGUAAAGACAGGCUCUCGGAAACCUCUUCAAUCGAGAUGUGCAUCCAAGGUAUGCAGUGGGGUUUGCAAUACAUCCUCCAAGGCAUUAAACCACGGACUUUCGAGGAAUUGGCCACUCGCGCCCAUGACAUGGAGUUGAGCAUCGCCCAUCAUGGGAAGAAAGAACCGAUCGCCGACUAUAAGAACGACAAAGUUCUUGGGCCAAAGUUGGAGAAGACUGUGUGGAAACCCACCAAGGAAGCAAUGACGGUCAACACAGCUCCCGUCAAAAUCCCUACACGAGGCAAGGCGAUUCAAACCAAAGCUUUUCGUGAUCAAGAGAUGCGUAGACGCACUUUGAAGGAGCUUGAGGAGAUGACUUAUCCAUUCCCCGACUCUGAUGUGGUUGCCAUGUUAGAAGACUUGCUGGAAAAGAAGGUGAUUGGUUUGCCUGAGUGUAAACGGCCGGAAGAGAUGAAUCGUACCGACAGUCUAAGAUACUGUAAAUUCCACCGCUUCAUCAGUCAUCCGACAGAAAAAUGCUUCGUGCUGAAAGAUCUCAUCAUGAAGCUGGCUCAGAAAGGAAUCAUCGAGCUAGAUCUUGACGAUGUGGUGAAAUCAAACUAUACCACCAUCACUUAUGGCUCUUUCGACACAAAGUUUUCACCUCAACCGCUGGGGGCAUCCUUCAAGACAAGCAAAGUUGAAGGAUGGACUCAAGUCACUCCUAAGAAAUUGCACAAGAAGCAUGCGUCUCCUCCACAAGUCCGCCAAUCGGAAAGGGGGCAAAGCAGCUCUUGUCAACCUUCAAAGCAACAUGAACGUGUUGAAGAUGAUGAAAUUUUGACACAUAGAUCGUCCAUCCCCAUCACGAUGCGCGAUUUCUUUCCCAAAGACUUCUUCAAUCACUCGGUCAAGGCUCCUUGCUAUGAAGAUUGUGAGGAACGCCUCUCCAAAAUUGCUUGACAAAAUUCACAAAUUCUCCUCGCCCGCAUGAGUCUAAACUGCAUGGCACAAAGCUCCUGGUCUGCACGAGCAUAAAAGGCAACACCAAUGCUCCUUGUUCGCACGAGCCUAAACUGCACGAACCAAAGCUCCUCGCCUGCAUGAACCUAAACUGCAUGGCACAACGCUCCUGGUCUGCACGAGCAUAAAAGGCAACACCAAAGCUCCUGGUCCGCACGAGCAUAAAAGGCGAUAACAAACACUCCUUGCCUGCAUGAGUUAAAACUGCAAAUGGCACAAAAAGAAAAUACCAAAAAUAUGUAUGUAUUUGAACUACGUUACGACUUGAUCUCUUCUUUGGAGGGGUACGUAGGCAGCUCGAAUGUUCAAUUUUUCGAGUUCAAUCACACCAAAAUAAGGAAUAAAGAUUUAAUUAAAAGUUUUGAUGCUAUUACAAUUUCUUUGUACAAAAAAAAAAGAAGAAAAAAAAAAUAUACAUAUGUUUUAUGUAUUAAAAAAAAAAUAUAUAUAUAUAUAUAUAAAUGGCCACAAGAAGCAACCCCUUUAGCCAAAAUUCUACAAGCGGCUCCCAGAGCCCAAUCUCUCUGCAAGUCAAAGACCUCUUCAAGGUUCAGGACAUGGCCCACACUAGUUUUGACCCAAUCAAAGGUCAGAGUGAGGCGGGCAGCUUAAAUCCUCCAGAAUCCAAGGGUGCAGAGCAAUAAGAGAAAGAGGCCUUUGAUCAUUCGCUUUAAAAUUGCAAAAAAACCCAGUUUAACCAUCGUCAUCAUUAGCGUCGACCCUCAAAACCCAAAAUCCACUUGGACCAAGCUCUCCAUCUUAUAAACCUAGCAAGAAGCCCAAAUCCAGGCAUUCCUUGUCCACUUCAAGCUCGGGUCCAGUUCAACAUAACAUCAUCAUCAACCGCAUCAGUCUUUGUAGCUGCAGACUCUCUCAGUGUGGAAAACGAUGGCGUUUAGGGUUCGAACUCGAGCUUGCUGUCCCUGGUUAUUCUCUCUCUCAUCGCCAUCGCCUCCGCCAAGGUUUUCUUCGCAGAACGCUUCGAAGAUGGAUGGGAUAAACGUUGUGAGUAUCUCCAUCAACCUGGAAAGAAGAGGCGGCUAACCGCUGAUCAAGUCCAGUUUCUUGAAAAAAGCUUCGACGUGGAAAACAAGCUAGAACCAGAGAGGAAAGUCCUGCUGGCAAAGGACAUUGGCUUGCAUCUAUGCAUUCUCUGUGUUUAAUUUCGCCGCUGCUCUCACUCUCUCCAAAAAAAACUCGGGUCAGAUCCAUCGGCCACAGCGAGCCCGAAUAAUGGUACAUCAAAAGAUGUCGUGGGUUCCUCGACAAAACCCACUCCGCCAUGAACAAGUCCAACCCGGCCGCCAGUCUCAAUUGCAACAUCGCUAAAUCGAUCUCCCAGUCAUUCCUUCCUUGUGCGAGUCACCUGAACAGAUCAACCUGUUGAAGUCAGAGUUUGUUGUAGCAUCUAAAAAAAAAUUGCCGAGUUGAAACUGUAUAAAUUGAAGUCUGAUCUGAUGAGGCUGAAUAGGGCAAAUGAUAAACCCCCAAUUCUCCUAUCUCCUGUAAACCCUAAAUCCCAAUCUGAGCAGCUGAAUCAAAAUCUCGGAGAUGGCGAUGGUUCCAGAGCAACUGAUAUGGGAGAUAGUGAAGAAGAACAACUCUUUUCUUGUGAAGGAGUUCGGGAGGAGCCACGCCGGCGUUCGGUUCACCAAGGAGCCCAACAACCUCCUCAAUCUCCACUCCUACAAGCACUCUGGGUUGGCAAAACAAGAAAACCGUGACCAUUCAGGGUGUGGGCAAAGAUCAAUCUGUGCUGUUGGCAACAAGUAAGUCCAAGAAGCAGAACAAACCUGCUGCUCUGCUGCAUAAGUCUGUGAUGAAACAGGAGUUCCGCAGGAUGGCGAAGGCGGUUGGUAAUCAGGUGGCGGAUAACCAUUACAGGCUGGAUCUGAAAAAAAAAAAAAAGCAGCCCUUGCAAGGUUGAGUGCUGUUCACAAGAGCCUCAAGAUUGCCAAGUCUGGUGUCAAGAAGAGGAACUAGGCGAUCCUACCCCCAGAAACUGAUGAUCGGCUUUAAGCAACCUGGACACAGACUUCGAGGCCUUCGGCUUGCCUCUGCAUUAUCUGGAAACUUAAAUCUUUGCGGUGGCCCGCUUAAGCCGUGCAACCCAUUUUUUUCUUGUUCCAACUCUGUCGUCCAUAAUCCCAGUCCACAAAAAGUCCAGAAAGCUCUCUACCACCGCCAUUAUCGCCAUCGCCGCCAUGCCAGAUGAAGCUUUUGAGAAUGGAUGUGCAGAAAGAUUUGAAGCUCGAUCACGACUGCUCCGUGUCCUGGGUCCACGCUUGGACUGUCUCCCCGAUUGGUGGUUGCAUCAAGAAGAGGGAAUUCUUUUCUGCUGCACGUCAGGGCACUGAGAAACCUCCAUUUCCACCAGCCCCGUGGUCCUUACUUCCACUCCAUCUACUGACUCCGCCAACUCUUCCUUUCCCCCAAUCUGCGAACGGACCAAGCAGGUUUUGGCUGAUGAUGUCGUGACAGAUCCCGAAAAGAUGGCAGAUUGGUGUUUGGCAUGGAUGGAUCUUGGUUUUUUCUUCUGUUUUGUGAUAAACCCAGAUGGAAUGUUUAACAAUUCUGGAUGGUUAAUUGUGUGAAGCACGUCGGCAUAGCAUGGCAAAUAGGGCAGCAUCUCCGCCGUUAAACAUAAUCCUUUGCAGCAAUUGGCAGUGCAACGGAUGCGCAGUGGCGGUGCUCGGCGGCAGUACAACGGGUGUGCAGCGGCUGUGCUCAGUGGUUGGGCUCAGUGGCUGUGCUCUGGGUUCUAGCUGGAUUCGACGUCAAGAUCACCUCCACCUCCUCCGUCUCUUGCCUCGCAGCUGCCAACAACUUCAAAGACUGCUGUCAAACGACUAGCCGGCCGAGAAGCUCUUCCUCAAACUCAAGCUCCGCUCCCUGCAAAUUCCUCUACCCACCACCCAAAUUUAUACAGAAAAAUAUAUAAUAAAAAAAAGGGAUGGUGGAGCAAAGUGGUGCUGCCACCGCGGGAAAAAAAAAAGAGGUGCAUCAGGCACCAUGUGCUAUAAAAAAAAGAAAAAAAAGAAGUGGUGGGUGCAUCCAGCACCAAAAGAAAAAAAAAUAAAAAAA